rnacentral:rRNA from 1 species
GACGAACGCUGGCGGCGUGCCUAAUACAUGCAAGUUGAGCGCUGAAGGUUGGUACUUGUACCAACUGGAUGAGCAGCGAACGGGUGAGUAACGCGUGGGGAAUCUGCCUUUGAGCGGGGGACAACAUUUGGAAACGAAUGCUAAUACCGCAUAAAAACUUUAAACACAAGUUUUAAGUUUGAAAGAUGCAAUUGCAUCACUCAAAGAUGAUCCCGCGUUGUAUUAGCUAGUUGGUGAGGUAAAGGCUCACCAAGGCGAUGAUACAUAGCCGACCCGAGAGGGUGAUCGGCCACAUUGGGACUGAGACACGGCCCAAACUCCUACGGGAGGCAGCAGUAGGGAAUCUUCGGCAAUGGACGAAAGUCUGACCGAGCAACGCCGCGUGAGUGCAGAAGGUUUUCGGAUCGUAAAACUCUGUUGGUAGAGAAGAACGUUGGUGAGAGUGGAAAGCUCAUCAAGUGACGGUAACUACCCAGAAAGGGACGGCUAACUACGUG